GAAGCCAAACUAUAACUAACAUUCUUUUGUGAUUCCUUCUAUAGAAUACCUGAUUCCAGACCACGACACUGAUGUGCUUUGUGAAAAUUCAGGGUUUGAGUGCUGUGGUCAGUGGAAUUGCAGCGUGGACUCCAACAUACUGUUGACUGUCCUGAAACAAGAUGGCUGUUCUGGGCUGC